rnacentral:ncRNA from 1 species
ACGAACAUGGGCAAGGCCCUGAGUAGGAGAAAUGCCGCUGCAGCAGAGAGUCGGUGGAUGGUGCGAACCGAUGCAAGCAUAGCUUCGAAUUACAGUUCUGAGUUGGUUGAGGGAACAUGCUCAUUGCGGGCAUCAGUAGCUUAAACCCGGCAUUCAUAUGUCGUUAUUCAACUAAGUGAAAGAACAUACGAUGUGGAGAUCUCCAUGCGUAUUUCUUUAAUUAGGGUGGUACCGCGAGACAAUGUUCUCGUCCCUUUG